rnacentral:rRNA from 1 species
UACGUAGGUGGCAAGCGUUGUCCGGAAUUAUUGGGCGUAAAGCGCGCGCAGGCGGUCCUUUAAGUCUGAUGUGAAAGCCCACGGCUCAACCGUGGAGGGUCAUUGGAAACUGGGGGACUUGAGUGCAGGAGAGAAGAGUGGAAUUCCACGUGUAGCGGUGAAAUGCGUAGAGAUCCGGAGGAACCCCAGAGGCGAAGGCGGCCCCCUGGCUCGUACCUGACGCUCAGCCACGAAAGCAUGGGGAGCGAACGGG